rnacentral:rRNA from 1 species
CGACGAGUUUGAUCCUGGCUCAGGAUGAACGCUGGCGGAAUGCUUUACACAUGCAAGCCGAACGGUAGAGGGGGCAACCCCUUGAGAGUGGCGAACGGGUGAGUAAUAUAUCGGAACGUGCCCAGUCGUGGGGGAUAACGUAGUGAAAAUUACGCUAAUACCGCAUACGAUCUAAGGAUGAAAGCGGGGGAUCGCAAGACCUCGCGCGACUGGAGCGGCCGAUAUCAGAUUAGGUAGUUGGUAGGGUAAAGGCCUACCAAGCCAACGAUCUGUAGCUGGUCUGAGAGGACGACCAGCCACACUGGAACUGAGACAUGGUCCAGACUCCUACGGGAGCAGCAGUGGGGAAUUUUGGACAAUGGGCGAAAGCCUGAUCCAGCCAUUCCCGCGUGCAGGA